rnacentral:rRNA from 1 species
UACGUAGGGUCCAAGCGUUAAUCGGAAUUACUGGGCGUAAAGCGUGCGCAGGCGGUUCGUUAAGUCAGCUGUGAAAGCCCCGGGCUCAACCUGGGAAUUGCGGUUGAAACUGGCGAACUAGAAUCUGGCAGAGGGGGGUGGAAUUACCACGUGUAGCAGUGAAAUGCGUAGAGAUGUGGAGGAACACCGAUGGCGAAGGCAGCCCCCGGGCUGAGCAUUGACGCUCAGGCACGAAGCGCUGGGAGCAACAGGA